ACGCACGCUGGCGGCGUGCUUAACUCAUGCCAGUCGAACGGAAAGGCCCUGCUUUUGUGGGGUGCUCGAGUGGCGAACGGGUGAGUAACACGUGAGUAACCUGCCCUUGACUUUGGGAUAACUUCAGGAAACUGGGGCUAAUACCGGAUAGGAGCUCCUGCUGCAUGGUGGGGGUUGGAAAGUUUCGGCGGUUGGGGAUGGACUCGCGGCUUAUCAGCUUGUUGGUGGGGUAGUGGCUUACCAAGGCUUUGACGGGUAGCCGGCCUGAGAGGGUGAACGGGGACAUGGGGACUGAGAGACGGAGCAGACUCGUACGGGAGGCAGCAGUGGGGAAUAUGGCACAAUGGGGGGAAGCGUGAUGCAGAAACGCCGCGAGCGGGAUGACGGGCUACGGGUGGAAAACCGCUUUCGACUGUGACGAAGCGGGAGUGACGGUAAUGGGUAAAGAAGCACCGGCUAACUACGUG
rnacentral:rRNA from 1 species